UACGUAGGGUGCGAGCGUUGUCCGGAAUUAUUGGGCGUAAAGAGCUCGUAGGCGGUUUGUUGCGUCUAUCGUGAAAACCUGCGGCUUAACUGUGGGCUUGCGGUGGAUACGGGCAGACUUGAGUUCGGUAGGGGAGACUGGAAUUCCUGGUGUAGCGGUGAAAUGCGUAGAUAUUGGGAAGAACACCUGAGGCGAAGGCGGGUUGCUGGGCUGACACUGACGCUGAGGCGCGAAAGCCAGGGGAGCAAACAGG
rnacentral:rRNA from 1 species